CACGUAGGGCGCAAGCGUUGUCCGGAAUUAUUGGGCGUAAAGAGCUCGUAGGCGGUCUGUUGCGUCCGCUGUGAAAACUCGGGGCUUAACCCCGAGCCUGCAGUGGAUACGGGCAGACUAGAGGUAGGUAGGGGAGAAUGGAAUUCCCGGUGUAGCGGUGAAAUGCGCAGAUAUCGGGAGGAACACCUGUGGCGAAAGCGGCUCACUGGACCACAACUGACGCUGAGGCGCGAAAGCUAGGGGAGCAAACAGG
rnacentral:rRNA from 1 species